CCUACGGGUGGCAGCAGUGGGGAAUAUUGCGCAAUGGGCGAAAGCCUGACGCAGCGACGCCGCGUGAGGGAUGAAGGUCUUCGGAUCGUAAACCUCUGUCAGCAGGGAAGAACGGUCACUGUGCUAAUCAGCAGUGAAUUGACGGUACCUGCAAAGGAAGCACCGGCUAACUCCGUGCCAGCAGCCGCGGUAAUACGGGGGGUGCGAGCGUUAAUCGGAAUUACUGGGCGUAAAGCGCUCGUAGGCGGUAUGUCAAGUCAAGGGUGAAAUCCCCGCGCUCAACGUGGGAACUGCCUUUAAAACGGGAAAACGGGAGGGGGGGGGAGAGUAGUGGAAUUCCAGGUGUAGGAGUGAAAUCCGUAGAAAUCUGGGGGAACAUCAGGGGCGAAGGCAACUAUCUGGCACAUAACUGACGCUGGGGAGCGAAAGCGUGGGUAGCAAACAGGAUUAGAUACCCCGUAGUC
rnacentral:rRNA from 1 species